GUGCUUGCUUUGGCAGCACACAUACUAAAAGUGGACCCAUACAGAGAAGAUUAACAUGGCCCCUGCACAAGGAUGACCUGCAAAUUCGCGAAGCGUCCCAGUAAAGA
rnacentral:snRNA from 1 species